GGACUGGUUGGAUCUCCUUACAAUCCAAGGGACUCUCAAGAGUCUUCUGCAACACCACAGUUCACGCAGGGAAGCAUAACCUUCACUUACACAAACCCAAUCCUUUCACAUCGCCAACACUAAAACCAGUGCAUUUGCUGUUUCUAAGGACGGAUCCGUCCCUUGAUGCUUCAUUUUUAGGGCAAGAGGAGGGCCUAAAAGACUCAAGAAGACGCGCACCCUUUACCAAAAAUGAGAUGUCUAUGGGGCGGCCCUCCACGCCCAAAGACCGCCCCCUGAAGGACUAGCAACAGAGAGGUAAGCAGGGAAGGGAAGCAGAAAAGGGCAGACCAGCUACGCAGGCGGACUCUGGGGCGGGAGAGGUGGCAGUGCUCGGAGACAACGGGGAAGCCCCCCGGCCCGGCACUGGCACGUAACAAGAGAUAGGAGGCUGGGCGCCAUGCGUGUGCGGUCGUAGGUGGAUGGCCCGGAUCAGAGGUGCGGCGGCAGGCGCGGGAGAAGCGGCCAAGGGCGGUCCCCAAGGAGCGGGCUCUGAGUGGACGGCGCCAACCCAAGCCCCGCCGAGCGCCCCUCGAGAGUGGGGCCGCGGACCGUCGCCGCCGUCCUCAGGCCUCUGCUGGGGCCACCGGGCCCGCCUCCUUCAUGCGCAGGCUCGUUAACCAGGAAGACGCGGGUGGGCCGAGUCAAGAACCGGAAGUGCCCGGGCGCACCGGCAACCUUCCCCGGAAGCCCGCCAGCCGGAACAGCCCUGAGGCCCCGCCCCUCGACGGAAUGCUGGGUUGCUGGGCAACCGGCGCGGGCGCCGCGGGAGGGUUCGGUGGUGCACAGAGCUGUCCCUGUGUAGCCCCUACUUCCUGCCCUGGCAACCUCCCGGCCCGCCCGCCUCCCUUCUUGCCGCCCCUCCUCGCAUCACGGAAUCCCUGCCCUUGGCACUACGUGCACCUCUCCGGCUCCCACGACACUCUAGUGCCCACUUGCUUCGAAGCCAAGCUUCAUCGAAAGGGAAGCGGGCCGACCCCGGGCGCGACCUCCACGUUGGCUGAGCGCGCCUCUCCAGCCAUGGCCACCUACACCUACACCAGCCGGCCCCGGGCCCUGCCCUGCCAGCGCCGCCGUUACCGGGACGACCUGAUGCAGCAACCUGAAGAACCUGUGCAUUAUGGAAACAUAAUGUAUGACAGAAGGGUGAUCCGAGGCAACACUUACGCUCUACAGUCAGUACCACUGCCUGGGCAACCUGAUCCUGUAGAGAUUCAGAGACAGCAGCAGGUUAGGAGGAGGGCUUUUGCCAGAAAACGAGCCCAAGAACAGCUCAGACCACGUACACCCGAACCCGUGGAAGGCAGAAAACACGUGGAUGUGCAGACCGAAUUAUACCUUGAAGAAAUUGCUGACCGCAUAAUAGAAGUUGAUAUGGAGUGCCAGACAGAUGCGUUUUUGGACAAACCACCAACACCACUCUUUAUUCCUGCCAAAACUGGCAAAGAUGUGGCCACCGAAAUUCUAGAAGGAGAGCUGUUUGACUUUGAUCUUGAAGUUAAACCAAUGUUAGAAGUUUUGGUGGGAAAGACCAUCGAGCAGUCUCUUCUGGAAGUGAUGGAAGAGGAAGAGUUGGCGAACCUGCGGGCCAGUCAGUACGCAUAUGAAGAGCUUCGCAAUGUCGAGCUUGCUGAAGUCCAGCGGCUUGAAGAGCAGGAGAGGCGACACCGGGAGGAAAAAGAACGUCGGAAGCAGCAGCAAUGGCAGGUGGUUCACAAGCAUAACGAGACUUCGCAGAAGAUCGCGGCUCGAGCGUUUGCACAGCGUUACCUGGCCGACCUCCUCCCAUCAGUUUUUGACAGCCUUCGGGAUGGUGGCUACUUUUAUGAUCCCAUUGAAAGAGAUAUUGAGAUAGGAUUCCUCCCAUGGCUAAUGAAUGAAGUUGACAAAACCAUGGAGUACAGCAUGGUGGGAAGAACAGUGCUUGACAUGUUGAUUCGUGAGGUGGUUGAGAGAAGACUGAACCUCUAUGAGCAGAAGGAGGGCAGGCACGCCCCUGUGAGGCCUGAGGAUGGACUCGGCGGUCCCGGAGGAACGAGAGAGCCCCUGGUGGGUUUUGAAUCCUGGGAUCAGGGUGCAUCCCAGGCCCAGAGACCCCUUCCAGACAGAGACUCCCUACAGAGAACGCCAUACGACACAAGGUACAUGGAGAGAGUGUCGUCCCGGGAAAGGAGGCUCGCUGAAGAAGAUGAUGAACUGACAGAAAUGAGGAAGUCCUCCAAGAGGGAAGAGCUGUUGCAGUAGAGGGGAGCCUCAGUGCCGUGGAGCCCGUCGGCAGCCAGUCAGCACUGCAACCAAUCAGGAUUUACUUAAUGACAGAGCUAGUUCCACGUAAACGAAGACAAUGGAGUAACAGUUUACAUGACACUGAAAUCGCGUAGUCUUCCGAGAAGUCAGGAGGGAACAGUUACUGUGCGUGCUGCUGCUUUUCUUCUUUUCCUUUUUGGAGUGUCCGGUGAGUUGCUAUGCAUGGGGUUUUUUUCCCUAGAGAUAUUUGUGAACAAACAUGCCCCCAAUUCUAAUGAAAAGUUAUUGUUUCUUUUUUUUUUAAGGUUCAGGCUCCCCUUCUUCAGUUACUACGGACAACAAAAUAUCCCUGAAAUGAAAUGACUCAUCUUACUUCUAGUCAAUUUUUCAAAAAUCUUACUUCUUCUAUUUAGGAAAAUUUUAAAAAGUUUAAUGGCAAACAAAAGCUGUCUAAGGCACCUUAAGAACAGACUAUACAGAGGACUUAUAAAUACACAAGUUUGUUCUUUUCUAAUACUUUUUCUUUCUUGUGUUGUGUGCAUGCUAAAAUGAUUCCUAACAAGGUAAGUGAAAUAUGUUUAGGUGGUAUAGCUACAUAAAUUAUAAGAUAAUUUCAGUAGAUCUAGAGAUUACAGUGUUAUAGAUGCUUCAGCGUUAUUCAUGUAUAAAGUGUUGGUCUUUCCUUUAAUAACGUUCAUGUAAAUUCUUAAAGCAUCAUGCAUUGCUUUCUGUCGGGGGCCGUGUCAGCUAACAGUCUCCUCUGGACUCUGUCAUUUGGGUCAUGCUUCCUUCUCCUGAAAAAUGGGUCCCAUGGAAAAUCAUAUUGUUGGACGAGGGUUCUGGGUUUUUUCAAUGAGAGAACUGUCUUAUAUUAAGUGUGAUUUUUAUGUAUUUGUAUGUAAUAUGUGUAUGUAAUUUCACAGAUCUUUAUCCAAGAUCACUCUUCAUCCUUUGCAUCAAGAAGAUUUUGGCCACAACAUUUUGAAUCAUCUGUUUUCAUUUUUUGGAUGGAGGAAGAAGGGAUAAAUGAAAAUAUGAGCAUUUCUAUUUUGUGGUUGAUUCAUCUUUUCAAUAUAAAUUAUUCAUAAAACCCUUUUCUUAACGCUGUUGUUUUCUCUAGUGAGUCAGAAAAAAAACAGAAACCACUGUCUACUCCUUUCCCCUGUAAACAAAAAGCCAACAUAAAAAGAUAGGAUUCAAUAAGAAAAGGCAUAAGUAUGGCCUGUCAGACAGAUGACAGCUUAUUUG